rnacentral:lncRNA from 1 species
UAUAUAUGGUCGUAUUUAUGCUGGCCUUCAAGAUGUUUAUUUUGGACCCACUUUGAUGUAACAUAUUAAUGCUCACAAUUUUCCCUACUCUAGAAGAGCAACUGUAAACAUUUUAGUCAUGGAGCAGCCUGGUUUCUGAAUUUUGAGACACUUGCUUCAUAUUUGGCAGUUCUCUGCACAUAAUGAGGAGAGGAUGUCUUCGGCCUUUCACGUAGCCACCAUUUAAAGCUACCCCCACCUUCCACAUGUCUGCCCCAUCUGCCUCCCUUCAAGUUUGCCUUUGUUAUGCAGUGGAAAGAAUGGGCAAAGUGAAGAUGAAAAGCACUGAAAACCACUACAGAUAGAAAAAAAAAUUUGAAUAAUUCCCUUAAAAGUGGUUUAAUUCUGGUUGCGCCACAGAAUAAAAUUCAGAUGUUGCUAUGCUGGAGUCAGCAUUGGAUGAAUUUGCCUUCCCAGAUGGAGUGACUAACAUUUCCAAAAAGUUGGACAUUGUCAACUUUUCUUCCUACCCUCCCCAUACCAUACAGGAAAAGCACUGGCCCACCAGAUGAAAAUCCAUAUCUGCAAACAAGAGCAAUAAAAACUUCCCUUUCCUUGCCAAGAUAACAACUGGUCAGGAGCCCUGUCUCAUUCUAAUGACUCUUCAAGUUGCUUAAACGACUUGCUAUUACCAGCUACAAACAGGAACUAGAGCUCGAGUCAAUAGGCAGGAAGGCGAGGGAGGGGAAGUCGGCAAGGGAGUCCGGAGUCAUUUUGAUUAUGCAGCAGGACUGGAAGAAGAGGAGCAGCCCAGGCUGGCAGGCAGCUUAGGUUUGCACUGGAAUGGAAUCCAAACGGGAUAAAAUACUAUGAAGAGCUGUUUGGAAGAGCUGCAUGGGAAGUCAACCCUUUCUCAAGACUUAAGGGAGCCACCUGCAAAGUAUCUCCUUCAUUACCAUUGGGAUUCCCAUUGUAUGCAUUUCUGGGAUUUUGGAUCUCCAUAUUUCAAGGUACAGAAAUGUUUUUUAAAAAGGAUUACAGAUUUAUCAUCCGCUAGAUUUUAUAAAGCCAUUGCUGCAUUGUUUAAUCUCCAAGAGAUGGUUAUAAUGUCAGCAAGCCCCUACUGUUUCAAAGACUCUUAAGUUUAGUGGCAGAAAGGACCUUGGAGGUCAUCAAGUCUAACUACAUCAUUUUUUCAGUCAAGGAAACUCAGGUCAAGAAAGAUUAAAUGAUUUUCCCAAGAUCAUGUACCCAGUAAGUUUCUGAGAAAGCAUUUGAACGCAAGUCUUCCUGCUUCCAAGUCCAGUACUCCAUUCACUGCAUCAAAUCUUGGACUAAUUUGGAUGGAGCAAACAUUGUGGUCUACAAGCUGACAAAAACCACAUCAACGAUUUUGAAUGUGUGGAUGUGGUGAUGGUUGAGCAGAGAAGCAGUAAGCAAAUUCCAGCUGCCUAACAUGUCACUUUCUAUGAAUGAAGACCAUCUAUUAAAAUAAAAAAUAGCCCCUGGAACCA